rnacentral:rRNA from 1 species
AGUGGAUGGGGAGCAACCUAGUUGUGAGUGUGGAAAGGUAGUGCCAAGAAAAGCUGUCAGAAUGAUGAGAAUUGAGUCCCGGUACCCGAAACCGACACAGGUAGGCAAGUAGAGAAUACUAAGGGGCGCGAGGUAACUCUCUCCAAGGAACUCGGCAAAAUGACCCCGUAACUUAGGGAGAAGGGGUGCCACCGAGAGGUGGUCGCAGUGAAGAGGCCCAGGCGACUGUUUAGCAAAAACAUAGGUCUCUGCAAACUCGAAAGAGGAAGUAUAGGGGCUGACGCCUGCCCAGUGCCGGAAGGUUAAGGAAGUUGGUCAGGAGAAAUCUGAAGCUGGCGACUGAAGCCCCGGUGAACGGCGGCCGUAACUAUAACGGUCCUAAGGUAGCGAAAUUCCUUGUCGGGUAAGUUCCGACCCGCACGAAAGGCGUAACGAUCUGGGCGCUGUCUCGGAGAGAGGCUCGGCGAAAUAGGAUUGUCUGUGAAGAUACGGACUACCUGCAUUUGGACAGAAAGACCCUAUGAAGCUUUACUGUAGCUUGAAAUUGUGUUCGGGCUUCCUGUGCGCAGGAUAGGUGGGAGGCGAGGAAGGUCUGCUUGUGGGCAGAUUGGAGCCAACCGUGAGAUACCACUCUCAGGAGGCUAGAAUUCUAACUUAAUUAAGGACAGUUUCAGGUGGGCAGUUUGACUGGGGCGGUCGCCUCCAAAAAGGUAACGGAGGCGUACAAAGGUUCCCUCACACUGGUUGGAAAUCAGUGGCAGAGUGCAAAGGCAGAAGGGAGCUUGACUGCGAGACGGACAAGUCGAGCAGGGUGGAAACACGGUCUUAGUGAUCCGACGGUGCUGUGUGGAAGGGCCGUCGUUCAACGGAUAAAAGUUACUCUAGGAUAACAGGCUGAUCUCCCCCAAGAGUUCACAUCGACGGGGAGGUUUGGCACCUCGAUGUCGGCUCAUCGCAACCUGGGGCGGAAGUACGUCCCAAGGGUUGGGCUGUUCGCCCAUUAAAGCUGUACGUGAGCUGGGUUCAGAACGUCGUGAGACAGUUCGGUCCAUAUCCGAUGUAGGCGUGAGAAUAUUGAGAGGAGCCUUCCUUAGUACGAGAGGACCGGGAAGGACGCACCGCUGGUGUACCUGUUAUGAUGCCAAUCGUAAACGCAGGGUAGCCAAGUGCGGAGAGGAUAACCGCUGAAAGCAUCUAAGUGGGAAGCCCACCUCAAGAUGAGUAUUCUGGUGUAAGGUCACGGGGAGACGACCCGUAGAUAGGCACGAGGUGGAAGUGCAGAGAUGUAUGAAGCCGAAGUGUACUAAUAGACCGUCGGCUUGAUC